rnacentral:rRNA from 1 species
UGGGGAAUAUUGCACAAUGGGCGCAAGCCUGAUGCAGCGACGCCGCGUGAGGGAUGAAGGCCUUCGGGUUGUAAACCUCUUUCGUCAGGGAACAAGGCACUGCUUUUUUGGUGGUGUUGAGGGUACCUGGAUAAGAAGCGCCGGCUAACUACGUGCCAGCAGCCGCGGUAAUACGUAGGGCGCAAGCGUUGUCCGGAAUUAUUGGGCGUAAAGAGCUCGUAGGCGGCUGGUCGCGUCUGUCGUGAAAACUUCCGGCUCAACCGGGGGCUUGCGGUGGGUACGGGCCGGCUAGAGUGCGGUAGGGGUAACUGGAACUCCUGGUGUAGCGGUGGAAUGCGCAGAUAUCAGGAAGAACACCGAUGGCGAAGGCAGGUUACUGGGCCGUUACUGACGCUGAGGAGCGAAAGCGUGGGGAGCGAACA